rnacentral:rRNA from 1 species
UAAUACGAAGGGGGCUAGCGUUGUUCGGAAUCACUGGGCGUAAAGCGCACGUAGGCGGACUCUUAAGUCAGGGGUGAAAGCCUGAGGCUCAACCUCAGAACUGCCCUUGAUACUGGGAGUCUUGAGUAUGGUAGAGGUUGGUGGAACAGCAAGUGUAGAGGUGAAAUUCGUAGAUAUUUGCUAGAACACCAGUGGCGAAGGCGGCCAACUGGACCAUAACUGACGCUGAGGUGCGAAAGCGUGGGGAGCAAACAGG